rnacentral:rRNA from 1 species
UACGAAGGGGGCUAGCGUUGUUCGGAAUCACUGGGCGUAAAGCGCACGUAGGCGGAUGUGCCAGUCAGGGGUGAAAUCCCGGAGCUCAACUUCGGAACUGCCUCUGAUACAGCACGUCUUGAGUCCGGAAGAGGUGGGUGGAAUUCCUAGUGUAGAGGUGAAAUUCGUAGAUAUUAGGAAGAACACCGGUGGCGAAGGCGGCGACCUGGUCCGUGACUGACGCUGAGGCGCGAAAGCGUGGGGAGCAAACAGG